rnacentral:rRNA from 1 species
UACGUAGGGUGCGAGCGUUAAUCGGAAUUACUGGGCGUAAAGAGUGCGUAGGCGGUUCUUUGUGUCCGCUGUGAAAGCCCCGGGCUUAACCUGGGAACUGCGAUGGAAACUAGCGAGCUGGAGUGUGGCAGAGGGGGGUGGAAUUCCACGUGUAGCAGUGAAAUGCGUAGAGAUGUGGAGGAACACCGAUGGCGAAGGCAGCCCCCUGGGUCAAGAUUGACGCUCAUGCACGAAAGCGUGGGGAGCAAACAGG